rnacentral:tRNA from 2 species
GCUCCUAUCGUCUAGAGGCCUAGGACGGGGCCCUCUCAAGGCCUAAACCCGGGUUCGAAUCCCGGUAGGAGCGCCA